AACAGGGCGGUGUAAUGGGCACGUAGACUUUUGGUUUCUAAAGAGAUUAUUCGCUUGAUCUUCUGUUG